rnacentral:piRNA from 1 species
UGGGUGUCCUUUGACAAUGCAUCCCCUGC